GCGGCGUGCUUAACACAUGCAAGUCGAACGGAAAGGCCCUGCUUUUGUGGGGUGCUCGAGUGGCGAACGGGUGAGUAACACGUGAGUAACCUGCCCUUGACUUUGGGAUAACUUCAGGAAACUGGGGCUAAUACCGGAUAGGAGCUCCUGCUGCAUGGUGGGGGUUGGAAAGUUUCGGCGGUUGGGGAUGGACUCGCGGCUUAUCAGCUUGUUGGUGGGGUAGUGGCUUACCAAGGCUUUGACGGGUAGCCGGCCUGAGAGGGUGACCGGCCACAUUGGGACUGAGAUACGGCCCAGACUCCUACGGGAGGCAGCAGUGGGGAAUAUUGCACAAUGGGCGGAAGCCUGAUGCAGCAACGCCGCGUGCGGGAUGACGGCCUUCGGGUUGUAAACCGCUUUCGCCUGUGACGAAGCGUGAGUGACGGUAAUGGGUAAAGAAGCACCGGCUAACUACGUGCCAGCAGCCGCGGUGAUACGUAGGGUGCGAGCGUUGUCCGGAUUUAUUGGGCGUAAAGGGCUCGUAGGUGGUUGAUCGCGUCGGAAGUGUAAUCUUGGGGCUUAACCCUGAGCGUGCUUUCGAUACGGGUUGACUUGAGGAAGGUAGGGGAGAAUGGAAUUCCUGGUGGAGCGGUGGAAUGCGCAAAUAUCAGGAGGAACACCAGUGGCGAAUGCGGUUCUCUGGGCCUUUCCUGACGCUGAGGAGCGAAAGCGUGGGGAGCGAACAGGCUUAGAUACCCUGGUAGUCCACGCUGUAAACGGUGGGUACUAGGUGUGGGGUCCAUUCCACGGGUUCCGUGCCGUAGCUAACGCUUUAAGUACCCCGCCUGGGGAGUACGGCCGCAAGGCUAAAACUCAAAGGAAUUGACGGGGCCCCGCACAAGCGGCGGAGCAUGCGGAUUAAUUCGAUGCAACGCGUAGAACCUUACCUGGGUUUGACAUGGAUCGGGAGUGCUCAGAGAUGGGUGUGCCUCUUUUGGGGUCGGUUCACAGGUGGUGCAUGGCUGUCGUCAGCUCGUGUCGUGAGAUGUUGGGUUAAGUCCCGCAACGAGCGCAACCCUUGUUCACUGUUGCCAGCACGUUAUGGUGGGGACUCAGUGGAGACCGCCGGGGUCAACUCGGAGGAAGGUGGGGAUGACGUCAAGUCAUCAUGCCCCUUAUGUCCAGGGCUUCACGCAUGCUACAAUGGCUGGUACAGAGAGUGGCGAGCCUGUGAGGGUGAGCGAAUCUCGGAAAGCCGGUCUCAGUUCGGAUUGGGGUCUGCAACUCGACCUCAUGAAGUCGGAGUCGCUAGUAAUCGCAGAUCAGCAACGCUGCGGUGAAUACGUUCCCGGGGCUUGUACACACCGCCCGUCAAGUCAUGAAAGUUGGUAACACCCGAAGCCGGUGGCCUAACCGUUGUGGGGGAGCCGUCGAAGGUGGGACUGGUGAUUAGGACUAAGU
rnacentral:rRNA from 1 species